rnacentral:misc_RNA from 1 species
GUAGGUGAACCUGCGGAAGGAUCAUUACAGAGUAUCAUGCCCUCACGGGUAGAUCUCCACCCUUGAAUAACAUACCUUUGUUGCUUUGGCAGGACGCACUCGUGCCAGGGGCUUCGGCUCUUGAGUGCCUGCCAGAGGACCACAACUCUUGUUUUUAGUGAUGUCUGAGUACUAUAUAAUAGUUAAAACUUUCAACAACGGAUCUCUUGGUUCUGGCAUCGAUGAAGAACGCAGCAUCUGACUGACUCGG